rnacentral:RNase_P_RNA from 1 species
GCUAGAUAAUCGCUCAAAUAUUGAGAGGAAAGUCCGGGCUCCAUUGGACGAGACGCCAGGUAACUCCUGGGAGAUGUAAAUCUACGGAAAGUGCAGCAGAAAAUAAACCGCCUUAUAUAAGGUAAGGGUGAAAAGGUGUGGUAAGAGCGCACCGCAUAUCAGGUAACUGUAUAUGGCAUGGUAAACCCCGUCUGGAGCAAGACCAAAUAGAGGUCCUUUAGUCAGUCCUGGCUGGACCAGGGUAGGUUGCUUGAGUUUUGUGGUGACGCAAAAUCUAGAUGAAUGAUUAUCCUCGACAGAACCCGGCUUAUAGGCUGACUCA